rnacentral:misc_RNA from 1 species
GUAGGUGAACCUGCGGAAGGAUCAUUAUUGAAAUAAACCUGAUGAGUUGCUGCUGGCUCUCCAGGGAGCAUGUGCACACUUGUCAUCUUUAUAUCUCCACCUGUGCACCUUUUGUAGACCUGGAUAUCUCUCUGAGUGCUUAGCACUUCAGGUUUGAGGAUUGACUUUAUUGUUCUCUCUUUAUAUUUCCAGGCCUAUGUUUCUUCAUAUACCCCAAUGUAUGUUAUAGAAUGUAGUAAAUGGGCCUUUGUGCCUAUAAACCUAUACAACUUUCAGCAACGGAUCUCUUGGCUCUC